UGGGGGAUAUUGCACAAUGGGCGCAAGCCUGAUGCAGCGACGCCGCGUGGGGGAUGAAGGCCUACGGGUUGUAAACUUCUUUUGCUCUGAACAAGGCGCACUUUGGGGUGUGUUGAGUGUAGGGGUUGAUUAGCGCCGGCUAACUACGUGCCAGCAGCCGCGGUAAUACGUAGGGCGCGAGCGUUGUCCGGAAUUAUUGGGCGUAAAGGGCUUGUAGGUGGCUGGUUGCGUCUGUCGUGAAAGCUCAUGGCUUAACUGUGGGUUUGCGGUGGGUACGGGCUGGCUUGAGUGCAGUAGGGGAGGCUGGAAUUCCUGGUGUAGCGGUGGAAUGCGCAGAUAUCAGGAGGAAUACCGGUGGCGAAGGCGGGUCUCUGGGCUGUUACUGACACUGAGGAGCGAAAGCAUGGGGAGCGAACAGG
rnacentral:rRNA from 1 species